UACGGAGGGUGCGAGCGUUGUCCGGAAUCAUUGGGCGUAAAGGGCGCGUAGGUGGCCCGGUCAGUCCGUGGUGAAAGCGCGGGGCUCAACCCCGGGUCUGCAUUCGAUACGGGCAUGCUGGAGUUCGGCAGGGGAGAUCGGAAUUCCUGGUGUAGCGGUGAAAUGCGCAGAUAUCAGGAGGAACACCGGUGGCGAAGGCGGGUCUCUGGGCCGAAACUGACGCUGAGGAGCGAAAGCGUGGGGAGCGAACAGG
rnacentral:rRNA from 1 species